AUAUGUAGGCGGAGGUGGCGGGGGUGAUGAUGUAGUUGGAGGUGGAGAGGGUAUGAGGUUUACCGGGGAGAGCCAGUUCACUCAUGCCACACAAGAUACGGAUCAUGGUGCACCUAGCUCACAACGACAGACUAGAAGCAGUGCACGUCAUUCUAUUCCCCAUGAUGAUGAUAGCUCUAGCUCAGUGAACACAGACUAUACUUAUCCACACUAUCCAUAUGACCAACCAUAUGCAUAUCCAUCAUCACAUCGAGUACCCUAUUUGCCACCCCCCCUAUGUUGGCUAUACAAGCACCAACAUGCAAGAUGCUUACAAUGUGCAGGCUCAAGGAUAUGCGACAUAUGGUGCCUAUGGCGCAUAUGGGGCCUAUGGAGCCUAUGGCAAUAGCUCAUAUCAACAGGAUGAGACUGAAGAAUAAACUCCAUGUGGUAUGUAUCGUGUCAAUUACUAUGUAUUAUGUAUAUUGACGAUGAUGGUUUGUAAGGACUACGGUUGUGAUGAUUUGUAUGGACUAUGAUUGUGAUGACUUGUAUGGACUGUAGUUGUGAUGAUUUGCAUGGACUAUUGUUGUGAUGAUCUAUAUGGACUAUGGAUGUGAAUUUCUAUUUUUAUGGAUAUGAACUUCUAUUCUAUGUA